GUUUGUGAAUAUAUUAUCAUUAUUUUGUGUGAUCUCAGAAGCUAAGCAGGGUCAGGCCUUGUUAGUACUUGGAUGGGAGAUGGUCUGGGAAAACAGGGUGCCAUAGGCU